rnacentral:rRNA from 1 species
CCUACGGGUGGCAGCAGUGGGGAAUAUUGCACAAUGGGCGCAAGCCUGAUGCAGCCAUGCCGCGUGUAUGAAGAAGGCCUUCGGGUUGUAAAGUACUUUCAGCGGGGAGAAAGGCGAUAAGGUUAAUAACCUUGUCGAUUGACGUUACCCGCAGAAGAAGCACCGGCUAACUCCGUGCCAGCAGCCGCGGUAAUACGGAGGGUGCAAGCGUCAAUCGGUAUUACUGGGCGUAAAGCGCACGCAGGCGGUCUGUCAAGUCGGAUGUGAAAUCCCCGGGCUCAACCUGGGAACUGCAUUCGAAACUGGCAGGCUAGAGUCUUGUAGAGGGGGGUAGAAUUCCAGGUGUAGCGGUGAAAUGCGUAGAGAUCUGGAGGAAUACCGGUGGCGAAGGCAGCCCCCUGGACAAAGACUGACGCUCAGGUGCGAAAGCGUGGGGAGCAAACAGGAUUAGAUACCCUAGUAGUC